rnacentral:rRNA from 1 species
GACGAACCGUGCGAACGUUGUUCGGAAUCACUGGGCUUAAAGGGCGCGUAGGCGGGUCGGCAAGUCCGGGGUGAAAUCCUCCAGCUCAACUGGAGAAGUGCCUUGGAUACUGCCGGUCUUGAGGGAGGCAGGGGUCUGUGGAACUUCUGGUGGAGCGGUGAAAUGCGUUGAUAUCAGAAGGAACGCCGGUGGCGAAAGCGACGGACUGGUCCUCUUCUGACGCUGAGGCGCGAAAGCUAGGGGAGCAAACGGG